rnacentral:rRNA from 1 species
ACACAUGCAAGUCGGACGGUAGCACAGAAGAGCGUGCUCUUUGGGUGACGAGUGGCGGACGGGUGAGUAAUGUCUGGGAAACUGCCUGAUGGCGGGGGAUAACCACUGGAAACGGUGGCUAAUACCGCAUAAUCUCGCAAGAGCAAAGAGGGGGACCUUAUGGCCUCUUGCCAUCGGAUGUGCCCAGAUGGGAUUAGCUGGCAGGUAGGGUAACGGCCUACCUGGGCGACGAUCCCUAGCUGGUCUGAGAGGAUGACCAGCCACACUGGAACUGAGACACGGUCCAGACUCCUACGGGAGGCAGCAGUGGGGAAUAUUGCACAAUGGGCGCAAGCCUGAUGCAGCCAUGCCGCGUGUAUGAAGAAGGCCUUCGGGUUGUAAAGUACUUUCAGCGGGGAGAAGGGACGCUGGUUAAUAACCAGCGUCAUUGACGUUACCCGCAGAAGAAGCACCGGCUAACUCCGUGCCAGCAGCCGCGGUAAUACGGAGGGUGCAAGCGUUAAUCGGAAUUACUGGGCGUAAAGCGCACGCAGGCGGUCUGUUAAGUCAGAUGUGAAAUCCCCGGGCUUAACCUGGGAAUGCAUUUGAAACUGGCAGGCUGGAGUCUUGUAGAGGGGGGUGGAAUUCCAGGUGUAGCGGUGAAAUGCGUAGAGAUCUGGAGGAAUACCGGUGGCGAAGGCGGCCCCCUGGACAAAGACUGACGCUCAUGUGCGAAAGCGUGGGGAGCAAACAGGAUUAGAUACCCUGGUAGUCCACGCUGUAAACGAUGUCGAUUUGGAGGUUGUGCCCUUGAGGUGUGGCUUCCGUAGCUAACGCGUUAAAUCGACCGCCUGGGGAGUACGGCCGCAAGGUUAAAACUCAUGAAUUGACGGGGGCCCGCACAAGCGGUGGAGCAUGUGGUUUAAUUCGAUGCAACGCGAAGAACCUUACCUGGCCUUGACAUCCACAGAACUUAGCAGAGAUGCUUUGGUGCCUUCGGGAGCUGUGAGACAGGUGCUGCAUGGCUGUCGUCAGCUCGUGUUGUGAAAUGUUGGGUUAAGUCCCGCAACGAGCGCAACCCUUAUCCUUUGUUGCCAGC